rnacentral:ncRNA from 1 species
GAUAGGUCUCUGUCGCUACCGUGAUUGGACACUGACGCACAGUCAACUAGCCUUGUUCAGGCGGUCUCCGCGCGUGGAACCGAGGCGUUCCGAGCCACGAGGGGGGAGGCUCGGAGCGUCUCGU